CCCUUAGAUGUUCUGGGCCGCACGCGUGCUACACUGACCGGCGCAACAAGCUUUUUUCCUUGGCUCGACAGGCCUGGGUAAUCUUCGAACGCCGGUCGUGAUGGGGAUAGAUCCUUGCAAUUUUUGAUCUUCAACGAGGAAUUCCUAGUAAACGCAAGUCAUCAGCUUGCAUUGAUUACGUCCCUGCCCUUUGUACACACCGCCCGUCGCACCUACCGAUUGAAUGGUCCGGUGAAAUCUCGGGACGGCGGCUUGGUCGCUUGCGUCCGACUGCUGAAACUUGAUUAAACCAUAUCAUUUAGAGGAAGGUGAAGUCGUAACA
rnacentral:rRNA from 1 species